ensembl:lincRNA
CCACACUUCAGAUAGUCAAAUGAAAGUGUGGUGAAAAGAGAUAAGACAGUGGAGAGGAAAAUCUGCAACGAAAAGCAAAUAUUUUAAUGAUUAGAGCUGCCUGUUCUUACACAAUGACUUUAUGCUCCUUGAUUUAAUAUUUGAUAUUUUGUAAGGCGUGUUGACCCUUCGAAUCAGGUUUACUUUCAUGCAGUGAAUGUCACCACCUGCUGACCAAACAUGAUCCAUCUUGGCUGUGUUUCUAGUCCGUUAAGGUCUUAGCUCUGCUCUGCCAUGUUCCAGUGACAGAGCCUUCUCCGGUCCUCCUCUCGCCUUACAGUUGUGGCAUUUGCAUGGCGGGCACAGAGCGAGAGGGACCCCUGGCAGUGUGGGGUCAGCGCGGGUCCCCCCCUCUCGCCGGGGGCAGGUAGAGAGGCGGACCUGCCUGUGCCCCGUGGAGCUUCUGCUGGUCCUUCUGGCUUUAUCCAGACCUCUACGGCGAUCUUAGGGGCUUCCUAACUACUUCAGUCAAGACGAGAGCUGCGCAUGAGCUUCGUGUGACAGCUGUGGCUCACGAAGGUGGGAGCUGUCCCGUGGGAAGGCUCAUCGCACUGGGGAUACCUGUACCUGAGCCUUGCAGAGGUGAGCAUGAAGCCCCUGCAGUCACGCAAAGCAAGCUGCACGAAGACCAGUCCUGCUGGAACACUAAGUCCUCUGAAGGCCCUGCGACAUUGAGAGGUUUGUAUUUCCAUGGAAGACUGACUGAAGGACAGGUUUCUGCUUGAGUGCCUCUCCAAAGCCAGGCAGGCGCUGUUGUCCUGCCUAAAGGCCCUUCCUAGACAGGCCACUCGAGUGAGCGCCCCACCCUGACUCUAACACUCUCUGGCAGGGGAACUGGGAGACAGAUGUUCCCUGCCAGUGGCAUGGUGGCAGUGGGGACAUUUCAGUGUGUGUGCUGGAACGUCUACUUUAACGGAGCAGAUAAAAGAAAGGGAAGAAAUCAAGUCAGUUCAAUUUAUUCACAACAUUAUUGCAGUGUCAUAAAGAAUUGUGUCAGGAGUCCCCAUCAAAAAGCCUAAUUCUUAUUUAGGAUGGAGAGCCAGAAGGGAAGUUUGAAUUACUUCUUUUGGAUCAUAUUGAAAAAAAAAUUCUCCCUUUCAAGGAUAAAGAAUUCUACAUAUGCCCUGUGUGUUGAAAAAUAAUUCUUCUCAGUUUGUAGGUGAAUAAAGAUGUAAACAGUUUUAUCUGAGCAAUGAACUGAAAGGAUUUUGUGUCCUUUUCCUUCAGAGACAUUGCGUUUCUAAAAGCAAGCCAGAUCACAGAAGCUCUGGAAGAGUUCUGAGGUCAACAAGAGAGCGGGCUGAAUAUGAUUGGACUGUUAAAGAGAAUAUUAUAUGAGUUUUGGGGGGAUUCUAAUAAAGCAAUAUAAUGUAGCGCUGAGAUUCCAAAAGCACAGAACUGCUUCGGUGAGCUCUGGUUCAGGAUUAAAGUCAGCACUUGUGUGGGGUUCUGCUAGCCUAGCCUAGAGAGCUGGAAGUGCUGUUAAGCAGAACUGCACGUCUGGAAUCUCACAUUCAUACCUUGGGGGAACACCAAGCCAGUCCCUGUAAAAUCACUGCUCAAGCAAAAGUGUGAAGCGAUGCCUCUGAAGAUUUAUGUUUCCAUAUAUCUACUGAAUACACACCUGCAUCAGCAUGCAUAAGAAAUAGGGUCUGUAGGGUGUAGAAAUCCCUGUGAAAUCUGCUGUAAGAGUUAGAAUAGGAUGCUAUCUCUCAUAUACAGCAUAUGAAAAUAUAAACAGUACCCUAAAAAUGUAUUUGUGUCCUAAUGACACAGGAACAAUAAACAUCAAAUAAAUGUAAUAGCAUUUAACAGAGCACAGACAUUCGUCAUAAAGUCCAGAAAACCAAAAGGCCAUCACAUUCCUGUAGUUUGUCUUGUGUAAAUCUUACUGUGGCAGGGAUUUCACUGACUAGAUGCUACAAAGUCCUUAAGUGUGCUAUGAGGUUCAUGCACUGCAGUGGGGAAAUUCCUCCAUGCAGAAUAAAAUCCUUCAGAUCCUUUGGUAUCUGGUGCUGAACUGCUUUGUGCUGAAAUUAUUCACUUUGGUUUCCAGCUUUGGGGAAAGAAUUGGAUUUUUGAAAUCUGACCUCCUCUUCCAACCCUGGGAAAAAAACGGGGAUUAAACCUUUUUACAAAUGAAAUUGAAAGCCUAACAGUCAGUACCUGUUGCUCUGAUGAAGUAGCAUUUCAGAGUCACUGGUGCAGCUGAACUUCCUCCUGACAGCAGGAUGAUGUCUUUGUUACUUCUGAAAGAGUUACAGGAGAUUGCCUACAUGUGGUAAGAACAUUAACACACGUCCAGAGGCAAGAGAGUGAUGAGGCUGCAUUAUAUCUUUAGAAGAUCACUAAUGAUGGUCUUCAAAGCAGAGUCAUAGACAUUGCACUAGGUUGCAUAUUUCUCCUCCCAGCUGCCAGUUUAAUGUGGAAAUAAAAUGGGUGGUUGUGAAUAAUUAAUACCUCAGUCCAUUAACGAGACAUUAGAAUGCACUUCACCUCUCAUUGAUUCUUUACUUUUACUCUGUAGCACAUUUUGUACUUUGGUAGUUGUGUGAAAUAUGGAUGGUCUUGUUUAAAUGUCAGCUUUGUAAUUACAUAUAGCGUAUAAGCGCCGAGUUCCUUUGAACCGCAGUAUGAGUUAUCAUCACCCACACAGGACAGUGUCUUGCAAACACUUACCUCAAGCGUAAAGUGCAAGCAUUUCGCCAGAGGCCUUAAAACGGCGCUCCAUUUCUCGUCUUUCUCAAUGCAUGUUUUGAGAGGAGAAGAGCAGUUAAACAAAACCCCUUGAACCAAACAAAAUAAACAUUUUUAACAUUUGAGCGUAUGGAAGUGUCUCUGUCAAGAGCUCUGCUUCCUGUGCCACUCCUUCCUUUUUGUUUUCCUGGAAAAAAAGGUUGUAUUUGCAAUUGGUUUGCUGGGGCUUGAUUUGUAUUGCAGUCAUGCUGUUUGCAGCUCCAAAUAUAUCAUAAUAUAGCAGUAAUGUUGCAAGUGCGUAAAUAUGGCUUUUGCAAUAAAACCAUCCACUUCAAGACAUCUGAACACCUUAACAAUGCCCAA